UCGUCGUACGGGAUAUAACUGACAUAUUACCGGUCGCCUUUUAGCUACCUUCGGACGCCUCCCAGCACCUUCGACACUUUGCUGGGCUUGGUCGAGCACAGCCUCAGCCGUCAGGUGACUCCAUUCAGAGAUCCGAUUUCGGCCCACGAUCGUCUGGCAAUAACAGUACGGUUUCUUGCAAAUGGAGAAACAUUCCGCAGCUUGUCGUACAACUUUUUAAUUGGCCGAUCUACAGCUUCAGUUCUCAUAAGAGAAACCACAGCUGGAAUAUGGAAUAAUCUGUGGCAUACAUACGUUCCUUUUCCUCAGACUGAGAUAGAAUGGAAAAAGAUUGCAUUUGACAUGGAACACUAUUGGAAUUUUCCAAACUGCAUUGGGAGCCUUGACGGCAAACAUGUAAACAUUGAAUGCCCAAAUAACUCUGGGUCAAGGAAUCUUAACUACAAAAGAACUUUCAGUGUCGUUCUUUUGGUCUGCUGUGAUGCACA